CUUAAAUUGAAGAGUUUGAUCAUGGCUCAGAUUGAACGCUGGCGGCAGGCCUAACACAUGCAAGUCGAGCGGAAACGAGUUAUCAGAACCUUCGGG
rnacentral:rRNA from 1 species